rnacentral:tRNA from 1 species
GGGGUUGUAGCUCAGUGGUAGAGCACUAACCUAGCAUGUAUGAGGCACUGGGUUUGAUUCUCAGCACCA